rnacentral:lncRNA from 1 species
UUUUUUUUUUUUUUUCAAGAAGACUUUCAUGAUGCCUGUGGUUGGUCUGAGACUCAGUCUAAACAAGAUUGCACUGAGUGAGUUACAGACAUUUUCAUUGUGGGCUGAAGCUAAUAUCACACUGGUACACACCCCGAUAUUAAGCCUUCCAAAGCAUACCCCUCAUCUUGGUUCAUUUUUCCUUUUUCAGCUAUAUCAGUUCAUCAGCAGAUAACAAACUACACAGGUGUCUAUACAGCAAGAUCACAAAAAUCUUAACUGUCAAAAAAAAAAAAAAAAAAAAAAACCUUUGUCUAAGCCCAUGCAGACCAUAACUGUUACCUUUCUACUUCACGCUUAUCUCAGAUCACAGCAUAAUCCUGACUUUGCCAAUUAACCCACAGUGUUUUAUUUUAUAUGCUUUCUAGGGUGUGUGAUUUCAGAGUUUGAGGAAAAUUAGAGAUAACUCCCUUAAGAACAUGCAGUGUUCAGAGACCCCUGUAUAUACAGAAUAUGAAAAAAAGAAGCAGCGGAGUUUGGAAGAGUCAAGGAUGUUCCCUUGAGAAGAACUGAAUUGAAAUGUACAUGUCCCUGCUCCACUUCUGACCAAGCUUGUGUUAUGUCACAUAGUCAUCUUUGACCUCACUUUUCUCACCUGCAAAAUGGGAGAACAAUACCUCACAGAGUUGUUGUGAAGCUCAAGGGACACGCUGUAUGUUAGAAGGCUCUUUAAAUUUAACAUCACAUCUCUGGAUAAAUGGAAGGUGAUACAGCCAUACACGUAUCCAUUUCAGGCACCCAGACAAAGCUCUAAGUAGCGUUCCUGUUAAAUGGAUCUGACAAAAUCAGAAUUGUACAUUCCACCAUUAAAUCAAACAAUGCAUUCGUUCACUUUGACUUCAAAUCUGAAGAUUUCAAGAGUUUAGAGUGUGCUUUUCUUCUACAUGUGUGGUGUAAGCUCUGACUUGGGAGGUAAAGCCUUAUCCAUGUGUUCAGAUAUUCAUAUAUAAUUCCUAUAGGCAUAGUUAUUUAAAAAGCCAUACACAGGAAAACAUCUUAGAAAGUCUUUGGACAAUUUGAACAACUUAGUUUUCAUCAUUCUAGAAUGUACUGGCUACCAGUUUCCAUUUAAUUUGAAAACUCACUUGUCAAUAUCAUUGUGCCAUAGUUCAUGGUACAAAAUGAAAUGAAAGAAAAAUAUCAACUCAAAUAUAUAUUGAGUGUAAAAAUGUCUAUGGCAUUAUGUUAAGCAAAAGAAUACUAUCUUGGUUUCUUUUUUUUUUUCCUUAACGAUUUUAUUUAUUCAUGAGAGACGCACAGAGAGAGGCAGAGACAUAGGCAGAGGGAGAAGCAGGCUCCCUGCAAGGAGCCUGAUGCAGGACUCGAUCCCAAGACCCUGGGAUCACACCCUGAGCCAAGGGCAGAUGCUCAACCACUGAGCCACCCAGGUGUCCCACUAUCUCGGUUUCUGAGAAAGAAAUAAUCUAAAGAAAACAUGAACACAGGCACCAAUAGACAUUUUGUUCUUUCUUUAGUAUUCACACAUUGUAUUUUUACCUAAGGAUUCGGGGUAGCUUACAUGCUUUUCAUUGAAGAAAGGACUCUUUGAACGUCUCUUCUUCCAUGAAAAAAAAUGGAAUAAAAAUGAUAACAUGCAAAUGAAGGAAGCAGAUGCCAUCAUAUGACUAAAAUAAGCUAAGUACAGAAUUUCAUUUUAUGUAUCCUGAAAACUAUGAUUAAAAGAGAAAUAUACUGUGAUAAUUCUUCCAUACAGAUGACAUGUAAGCACAUAAGACAAAAACUGAGGUGGGCAUUUGACGGGAUGAGCACUGGGUGUUAUUCUGUAUGUUGGCAAAUUGAACACCAAUAAAAAAUAAAUUUAUUUAAAAACCCGUUUUCUUUAUGAAGUAUCACCCAUGUUGGGUAUAGAGAUUACUUGAAUAAAUAAAUAUUAAAAAAAAAAAAAAACACGCCACACUCCAGGGAGCCCUGGAGUUGUGAGAAGGGGCUCAGGCCUGUUGGUAGGAGGUGGGAACACAUUUCAAGGGGUGAGCUGACGGUGCCUGUCUUAGUUUGCUCCACCUCCCCAUACAUCGGCAGAAUCUCUGGGGACACAUUCACAUCACGUCGAUUUUAUAGUCGUCCUUUCAAAAUAUUUAUCCUUUACUCCUAUUCUUUGAAAUAAGUCAUCUAGUCUUGAUUCUCUAUUCCUCUUCAAACUAUUGAUUUGGUUUCCCCAAACCACACAUUUGACAGACGGUUAUCAGCCUUCUUUUUCCUUCUCUCUUAUCACUUUAAGUAUCACCAAAGAAACUCUUCCCAUCUAAGAUGAUCAAACAAAGUGCUGUAAAGACUUGUUGUUAAGCUAGUAAAUCUAAGUUGCUAAUAUGUCAGGAAAAGUGUUAGAGACCCAUCUCUACCUAUAGUAGCAUCCAUGUUUUCCAGCACCACCUCAGAUCAAUGCGAGCAGACUAGAGGCAGCACAGGAUUGUAAUUAAACUAAUAAAAUACAUGAGACAAGUAAUAAACUGAAGAAAAUGCCAUUAAAAAAAUUCCUUUGCUUUCUCACUCUAGCGAUCAACUGCUUCUACAAGUAAGUAAAUGAACAGGCAAACAUAAACCCAGACCACAUGGAACAGCCUUGACUACUUUCUGACAAACACCUUUGUAUCACAUAAUAUCCCAAGAAAGUCAGAGAACUAAUUAUAAGGAGGCAAGAGCAGGGAGGAAAUUAAUGUAAUUUAGAUAGUAAACAUCUGCACUUCUUUCCCACCUCUGAACUCCCACGGAGUACGCCCUCUCUCUAACCUUCAUCUUAAGCAAAUAUAAGACAAGGUAAACUAAGCCAGAGUCCCUGAAGAUUUUAUGAUGGUAUUUAUUAUAUUUUUUUCCCCAAAAAGCUGGCAUAUCAUUUUUAGGGGUGGAAUUCAUUUACUUGAUUGAAUUUGAGGCAUGCUAGACACAUCUGAAGCCCACUCCCAACCCACCAUAACAACAAACUGCUCACUGUCCAGAUACACUUAUAUGGCCAGAUUUCCUAUAAAUCUGACAGCUCAGUGUAUGUAUUGCGUAUGGGUCUUGGCACUGAGUCACAUUCCUCUGUUAUGUUUCCCUGGGAGCUCUGAUUUCCGUUUUCAGGGCUGGCACAGACGCCUACUUGCUCUUAUAAGAAAAUGUCUAUGACCGAAAGCUGAAAAUGUGCAAGAUUCCUUCUUUAAGUACACAAACACUCCAAAGUCUGGCCACUUUCCUGUAGUCCUGCCAGGUUUUCUCUAUGUCUGAUACCUGAUCAAAUAACUAUCUUUUUAAUAGGGAAAAACAACAAAAAACCUAAGAGAAGGAAUGUAGUACAUACACAGCUGAACAUCUUAUAAGACUUAACCAAACGACCUGUACAAGUGAUGCCUGAGUAGACACACACGUACCUUAUAUAGCUCUGUAAACAGGACUCAGUGGCCAGCUUAAUGAAUUCCUCAUUUAAAAAAAAAAAAAAAAAAA